UAUCCCUACGGGAGGCAGCAGUAGGGAAUCUUCCACAAUGGGCUAAAUCCUUAUUGAUCAACUCCUCUUUUUUUAAUAAGGUCUUCGGAUCGUAAAACCCUGUUGUUAGAUAAGAAAGUGCGUGAGAGUAACUGUUCACGUUUCGACGGUAUCUAACCAGAAAGCCACGGCUAACUACGUGCCAGCAGCCGCGGUAAUACGUAGGUGGCAAGCGUUAUCCGGAUUUAUUGGGCGUAAAUGGAACUCAGUCGGUCUUUUAAGUCUGUUGUGAAAGCCUUCGGCUUAACCGGUGUAG
rnacentral:rRNA from 1 species